rnacentral:lncRNA from 1 species
GUACUGUUGAAGAAGUGACAGUAAUGGAACCUCCCUUUUGAAAAUUACCUAAGAACACAGAACCUCGGUAACCAAGCAACCCAUUGGUUAGAGCAAGGUCUGCAGGCUGACUUGGUAGAGACUGUAGAGAGGGCAGGAUGUUCUCUUGCUGUCUUCGGACUACUCGAGGCUCAGGCCUCAAGAAAGACAACAGGCAGGACCAUGAUGGUGUCUGGAGUCACAGGCUUCAGUCUUGCCUUCAGUGCCUAUGGCCAUUUACUCAAAGGGGAAAUAAUUUGACCAAAGCCAACCACGGAAUGACCCACACAAAACUGGAUGAGAAGGUUUCUGCUCAAAAGGAACCUGAUGGAGCCCAGGACUGAGUCAUACAUCAGGGCACAGACUGUGGUUGAGCAGAUGAGCACGCUGGUGCCUUCUCUGAACGAAGGGGACCCAUUGGUUGUCCUAGCUUUUCUAUCUACAUAUAGAAGUUGUACGACACCCCUUCAGGUAUUGGACCUGCUGUUUGUGAGGUGAGUGCCCAUGUCCAAGACCAUAUUUUUAAAGAUUUCUUUUGGUUUCAGGAAUUUCCCUCCCUUCCUCUGUCUCUGUCUAUCUGUCUCUCUGUCUCUCUGUCUUGUCUGCUGUCUCUCUGUCUGUUUCUCUCUCUCUCUCUCUCUCUCUCUCUCUCUCUCUCUCUCUCUCUCUCUCCCUGUAUGUGUGUC